rnacentral:rRNA from 1 species
AUUGAACGCUGGCGGCAUGCUUUACACAUGCAAGUCGAACGGUAACAGGUUAAGCUGACGAGUGGCGAACGGGUGAGUAAUGCAUCGGAACGUGCCCGAUCGUGGGGGAUAACGCAGCGAAAGCUGCGCUAAUACCGCAUACGAUCUGAGGAUGAAAGCGGGGGACCGUAAGGCCUCGCGCGAUCGGAGCGGCCGAUGUCAGAUUAGGUAGUUGGUGAGGUAAAGGCCCACCAAGCCGACGAUCUGUAGCUGGUCUGAGAGGACGACCAGCCACACUGGGACUGAGACACGGCCCAGACUCCUACGGGAGGCAGCGAUGGGGAAUUUUGGACAAUGGGCGAAAGCCUGAUCCAGCAAUGCCGCGUGCAGGAAGAAGGCCUUCGGGUUGUAAACUGCUUUUGUACGGAGCGAAAAGGUCCUUUCUAAUACAAGGGGCUCAUGACGGUACCGUAAGAAUAAGCACCGGCUAACUACGUGCCAGCCGCCGCAGUAA